rnacentral:rRNA from 1 species
GACGAACCGUGCAAACGUUGUUCGGAAUCACUGGCUUAAAGGGCGCGUAGGCGGCUUGCCAAGUCAGGGGUGAAAUCUUUCGGCUUAACCGGAAAAGUGCCUCUGAUACUGGCGAGCUAGAGGGAGGUAGGGGCAUGUGGAACUUCCGGUGGAGCGGUGAAAUGCGUUGAUAUCGGAAGGAACGCCGGUGGCGAAAGCGACGUGCUGGAUCUCUUCUGACGCUGAGGCGCGAAAGCUAGGGGAGCGAACGGG